AGUGAACGCUGGCGGUAGGCCUAACACAUGCAAGUCGAACGGCAGCACAGUAAGAGCUUGCUCUUACGGGUGGCGCGUGGCGGACGGGUGAGGAUUACAUCCGAAUCUACUUUUUCGUGGUGGAUAACGUAGGGAAACUUACGCUAAUACCGCAUACGACCUACGGGUGAAAGCAGGGGAUCUUCGGACCUUGCGCGAUUGAAUGAGCCGAUGUCGGUUUAGCUAGUUGGCGGGGUCAAGGCCCACCAAGGCGACGAUCCGUAGAUGGUGAGAGAGGAGGAUAGGCCACAAGGGAACUGAGACAGGGUCAAGAGGACUAAGAUAGGCAGCAGUGGGGAAUAUGGGACAGUGGGCGCAAGCAUGGUCCAGCCAGAGCGAGUGGGUGAAGAAGGCCUUGGGGGUGGAAAGACCUUUUGUUGGGAAAGAAAAGCAGCAGGUUAAGACCAAGCGGUUCUGACGGUACCGAAAGAAUAAGCACCGGCUAACUUCGUG
rnacentral:rRNA from 1 species